UACAGAGGUCCCAAGCGUUGUUCGGAUUCACUGGGCGUAAAGCGUGCGCAGGCGGCGCGUUAAGACAGGUGUGAAAGCCCCGAGCUUAACUUGGGAAUUGCGCUUGUGACUGGCGUGCUGGAGUGUGGCAGAGGGAGGUGGAAUUCCACGUGUAGCAGUGAAAUGCGUAGAGAUGUGGAGGAACACCGAUGGCGAAGGCAGCCUCCUGGGCCAGCACUGACGCUCAUGCACGAAAGCGUGGGGAGCAAACAGG
rnacentral:rRNA from 1 species